UUUGAGUAUGUCCUGUAAUAUUGGGGUGAGAGGAAGAGAGGGGGCCAGGGAGGGGUCGAGAACAAGUCCUCAGUGUUGUACUAUUUGUCUCAGUCCUCAGGACUAAAGAAGACACUCAGGAAAAAAAAAAAAGUGAAAUAAAUAACAGAGACAGCCAUGACUCUGGCUCUUUCAAAACUCUGUACUUCCAGCUGGGAUAGGCUAAAGAGAUGCUCAACAGAGAUGCACUCAUUUCAGCAAUCACCCUGGCCGGAAGGAGUGUGCUCCGCAGGGAGCUCACACAACUUUCCUUUUGUGUUUGUGUGUUGCUGUUCUCCUGGAGAACUAUGCAGGCUGUGAGGACAAGAGGUCAGAGGCCAAGGAACCAGGAGGCCUUGGCAGGACGUUUCCUAGCAUCCUCAGUGAGAUGACAAAUGGAGGGGGGUGAAGCAGAGGUCUGGCUCCCCACCCUUCCCACCAUCCAGGAAGUGGCUCCAUUUCCUUGCUGAUACUCUCCCCUUCAUCCAUCCUGCUUCCCUCCCCCCCGAAGCAGAGGAGCCAUCCCAGAGUCAGUGCUCCUCACAGCCCACCUGCUCCUGGCUUCAGAUCUAAGACAUCUCCAGACUUAUAGGAAGAGAGGCUAUCAGAAAUCCAUCCCCAUCCCACGCUUUCUCUCCAGAUCAUAGGAAAAUAUCAAAGGAUGUCCAUUCUGGGAGCAGACCUUGGGACAGCCAGCAGCAGGCACUGACAGAUGCUCUGUCCCUCAGCCCUUGUCCCCUGCAUGGGAUGGGGAGGCAGAAAUUUUCUGAUUCUGUCACAGGGCAGAGUUCUGGUAUUCUCACUUUUUAAAAAAUGUUUAUUUAUUCAUCUUUGAGACCAAAAGAGUACAAGUAGGGGAGGGGCCGAGAGAGGGGGAGACACAGAAGCCAAAGCAGGCUCUAGGCUCUGCGUUGUCAGCACAGAGCCCGAGCUAGGUCAUGAUCUCACAGUUCGUGGGUUUGAGCCCCACAUCGGGCUCUGUGCUGACAGCUUGGAGCCUGGAGGCUGCUUAGGAUUCUGUCUGCUUCUCUCUCUGCCCCUCCCCCACUCACACAUUGUCUCUCUCUCUCUCUCUCAAAUAAAACAUUAAAAAAAAAAUCUUUUUUUAAAGACUCAUUUAUCAGUUAGGGUCUAGGCCCGUGUCCACAAAGGCAAGGCCUAAGAACAUGAUCCACUGGUUCCAAGUCUCUGGCCUCCUAGUCCUGGCUGUGGAGAAUGAAGGGCUUAUGGGCAUAAUCACUGAGAGCCUCUGUUCUGCUCGAGGGCUCAGUAUUUCUGGAAUGUUUAACUUGGAACAACCAUUCACUGACCCAGA